UACGUAGGGUGCGAGCGUUAAUCGGAAUUACUGGGCGUAAAGCGUGCGCAGGCGGUUCGCCAAGUCAGGUGUGAAAUCCCCGGGCUCAACCUGGGAAUUGCGCUUGAAACUAGCGGGCUUGAGUGUGGCAGAGGGGGGUGGAACUCCACGUGUAGCAGUGAAAUGCGUAGAGAUGUGGUGGAACACCGAUGGCGAAGGCAGCCCCCUGGGUCAACACUGACGCUCAUGCACGAAAGCGUGGGGAGCAAACAGG
rnacentral:misc_RNA from 1 species